AUGAUGAGUGAGAGAGCUCCCAUGGACACUGCAGCCUUGGCACCUUAUGCAUUCAGCACAACAUGCAGAUCCUUGAACCCCGAAUCAGUUUCAUGUACCUGUUCCACCUUGGCAGCUUCUCUUCUGCUCUCUCCACUCACCAUCUCUUGUGUCCAUCCAGAGGGAAGUCCACAGAGAAAUGCACACCUGCAGUCUCAUAAAGCACAAGACGUUGUCAUCAGAGAUCUCCUGGAAUCAAAAAUAAGAAAUGAGAAGAAGCUCAGAGACAAGCAUGAUAUCCCCAAAGCCUUUUUUCUGCCUCCGAGUGACAAACUGAAAAGGCUGUUCCCAUUUGCAGAGAAGACCUUCACUUUAGAAUGAAUGCAGAUGCACUUCAAGGGCCUUUUCCCAAAGAAGCUCUGCAGCUCCCGGGAGAUGCCUUUUGACAGUGGGUACGAAGUCUGGGAGCGCUCCUUACCCCCCACAGCUGUCCCAGCGAGCAGCAGCAGAGCAUGCCUUGGUCGGGCUCCCCUUCCCUUCACUUGCUGCAACCAGGUAAAUUCAGCAUUAGCUCGUCCUUGAGGGAUCGAGGAGUUCCUAAAACUUUUUCUGGUUGGAAAUGUGCUCGGAUUCACAUCCUCCUCCUCCACAU
rnacentral:lncRNA from 1 species